rnacentral:rRNA from 1 species
UACGGAGGGUGCAAGCGUUAUCCGGAUUCACUGGGUUUAAAGGGUGCGUAGGUGGGCAGGUAAGUCAGUGGUGAAAUCUCCGGGCUUAACUCGGAAACUGCCAUUGAUACUAUCUUUCUUGAAUACCGUGGAGGUCAGCGGAAUAUGUCAUGUAGCGGUGAAAUGCUUAGAUAUGACAUAGAACACCAAUUGCGAAGGCAGCUGGCUACACGUAUAUUGACACUGAUGCACGAAAGCGUGGGGAUCAAACAGG